CCGCCACCUAUGACUAUCCUUGUUAAGGUGUUGUCCUAUGAAGAUCUAAGGAACUUUCAGACGGGAAGCAAAUCAGGAAUGUAAUGGGCUUCUUAAGGAACAGGAGUUGCAAGAUCUGAAAUCCAGAGAGGAGCUUCUACAAGAAAGACCAAGAAGGCAGCAUCCAGAUUGGUAGGAGACACAGAGACACAUGCUUACAUCUCUGAGAAAGUUCUAACUUUGAGACUGGACCAAGAUGAUAUUCACUCCUGGGAGGAUAAUCUAAAAAUUAACCCAGAUUUGCACUAAACUCAGAGGGGCCUGUGGCUUGGAAUGAAACUGGACACUGGCGACCAACAUGAAACACACUGGAGGAGUACCUUGUGUCAUUAAAAAAAAAAGAGGUCAGGAAAAGUUCCCACUGCAGAUUUUCAGAUUUGAGAAUACAAGUGGACAUGGAGAUGAAAAUGUUGAUAGCAGUGAAAAGUAGGUUUUGGUUGUCUGAAAGCAUUUAAAGCUAAAUGUAUGGACAUUAUGAAUAUGAAGUUCUUUGUUGAGGCUAUAGAAAGAGAUUGAUUCUCCUUAAAUGAAAGUGUAAAGGGAAUUGAGAACAUUUCAAGAAAAAGCUACAGAGAGAGAAAGGGCAAAGAAAAUGAAACCUGGAGAAACACAAAGGAAGAGUAGUCAGAGAUACAGUUACUCUUUUCCAUUAUAAACAUUGUAACAGGUGGUCUGUCAGUGGUUGAGGUCAUCAGAGUUACCAAGGCAUAGGUGUGACAAGAUAAAUCCACUCAUUCAAGUAAAGUAAGAGAAUAAGAGGAAAAUGGAGAAAUUUGCUUAGUGGUAAGACGGAAUCUGGGCCAGCAGCACUCUUGGG